rnacentral:rRNA from 1 species
GACGAACGCUGGCGGCGUGCUUAACACAUGCAAGUCGAACGGAAAGGCCCUGCUUUUGUGGGUUGCUCGAGUGGCGAACGGGUGAGUAACACGUGAGUAACCUGCCCUUGACUUUGGGAUAACUUCAGGAAACUGGGGCUAAUAUCGGAUAGGAGCUCCUGCUGCGUGGUGGGGGUUGGAAAGUUUCGGCGGUUGGGGAUGGACUCGCGGCUUAUCAGCUUGUUGGUGGGGUAGUGGCUUACCAAGGGUUUGACGGGUAGCCGGCCUGAGAGGGUGACCGGCCACAUUGGGACUGAGAGACGGCCCAGACUCCUACGGGAGGCAGCAGUGGGGAAUAUUGCACAAUGGGCGGAAGCCUGAUGCAGCAACGCCGCGUGCGGGAUGACGGCCUUCGGGUUGUAAACCGCUUUCGCCUGUGACGAAGCGUGAGUGACGGUAAUGGGUAAAGAAGCACCGGCUAACUACGUG